rnacentral:lncRNA from 1 species
CAUUUUAAAAUUUAUUUUUUUAGGAGUUCCUGUUGUGGCGCAGUGGUUAACGAAUCCGACUAGGAACCAUGAGGUUGAGGGUUCGGUCCCUGCCCUUGCUCAGUGGGUUAAUGAUCCGGCGUUGCCGUGAGCUGUGGUGUAGGUCUCAGAUGAGGCUCGGAUCUUGCGUUGCUGUGGCUGUGGCAUAGGCUGGCGGCUACAGCUCUGAUUAGACCCCUAGCCUGGGAACCUCCACAUUCAGAGGGAUCGGCCCAAGAAAUGGCAAAAAGACAAAAAAAAAAUUUUAUUUAUUUAUUUUUUUAUGGCCAUACACGUGGCAUAGGGAGGUUCCCAGGCUAGGGGUCCAGUCGGAGCUACAGCUGCCGGCCUACACCACAGCCACAGCAAUGCAGGAUCUGAGCUGUGUCUGUGACCUACACCACAGCUCAUGGCAACGCCAGAUCCUUACCCCACUGAGCAAGGCCAGGGAUUGAACCCGCUACCUCAUGACUCCUAGUUGGAUUCAUUUCCGCUGUGCCACGAUGGGAACUCCUCUUUUACAUUUUUCCAUGUUCUUUCUAUAAACUUGUAGAGGAGUGGGGACAAGAGGGCUGUGGGCAAGGAGUCCUGUGGGCAGCGUGUGCUGGAGCCCGGGUGAGCAGAGAAGCCCUGGGGAGGUUUCAGGCCUGCAGCCAUUGAGCCCCAGGCCGCUUGCUUCAUUCUUGGCCACCUGUCGGGCUUCCUUUUCUUCCUUCACAGGCCCUGGGCCUUGGCCUUCCCGCCUCUUCCUUCUCUUGGGGUCCCCCCACCUCCCCGCUGUCUGCAGGGACACAGUGUCUCCAGGCCUUCUUUCCUUGCUGCUGCAGAGGUGGGUGUGUGGACUUUUCUGUCGACCACAAUGGAUAAAACUAACAAAGGUGUUUGUGGCCAAGAGCAGUGAAGGACUGGCCCCUCAGAAGUGCACGCCCAGCCCUGCUUAGUCCCAGGUAUGUGACAGAUUGUGCUGGGUUUGCUCUUGGGUAAGUGUGAACCUGUAGAGUCAAGGAGUUCCUUGGUCACGUUGCUGUUCAGAUCAGUUGCUAAUAGACACAGGGCUGGGAAAUUUGCUGCUGAAAAUCCUGCAACAUUUUGGACCACAUUACUGUCAAUUAUUGGACCCAAAGGCAGAGCAUUCAGGUGGAAAGAGAUCUGGGUGGGGAGACGAGAUCCCUGGCUUCCAUCCUGCCUCUGCCACCGAUGAGCUGGUGGACUUGAGUGGGGCUUCUCCAGUGGACAAGCUGACCUCUAUGGUCCAAACUCUGAAGCAAUAUGCAUUUGCUAAGCACUGGUCACUUUAAAACAUAGAAACUCGGGAGUUCCCGUCGUGGCGCAGUGGUUAACGAAUCCGACUAGGAACCAUGAGGUUGUGGGUUCGAUCCCUGCCCUUGCUCAGUGGGUCAAGGUUCCGGCGUUGCCGUGAGCUGUGGUGUAGGUCACAGACCUGGCUCGGAUCCUACGUUGCUGUGGCUCUGGCGUAGGCUGGCAGCUACAGCUCCGAUUCGACCCCUACCCUGGGAACCUCCAUAUGCCGCAGGAGCGGCCCAAGAAAUGGCAAAAAGACAAAAAACAAACAAACAAACAAACAAACAAACAAACAAAAAAACAUAGAAACUCUAUAAAGUGCAGCCAGGGAGCCAGCGGUGGCAAGUCCCCUAACACAGGACUUGUAUUUAGGGAAAAAGUGACUCAGGAUGAGAACACGUGAGCUGAGACCUUUGAGAUCCUCUAGUCCAAUCUCCUUAAUUCACAGAUGAGACACUAAAGCCCAGAAAGAGGGAGGUUCUUGGUCAAGGUCACACAAGAGCAGGUGCAGGGACACUGCCUCCCUGAGGGAGAGGCCUGCUGGAACACCAGCAAAGAAUGGGGAGAGAAAUCCCAGUUGCUAGGAGGCAAAGCUUUUGGGUAGAGAAACACGGGGCCAGGUUGUGUGUGGGGGACUGUGUAGCACUAGGACCUGUUGCCAUGGGGAAGAGAAAGCACCACAGGUUAAGUACAGAAAAGAGGGCUGCGAGCAAAGCUGGAGGGGGCUGAGCCCCUGCCCUCAACAGCUACCUAUAGUCUGAAUAUUCCCCAGUAGAAGCCAAUGAAACACACAGGCGGUUUCCCCCUGCAGUGAAACACUAGGCGCAGGAAGGGUAUGGCACCUUACGCUAAUCCGGGGCUCAGCUAGCCAUUUUGCUCUAAGCCUAAUGUUUCCAUUUUGAAGGUGAUCCUGUUUACCUAUGGUGUGAGGGAAAUCCUCAGUAUUUAACAUCGUAUCCUGGGUUAGGCCCCUCCCAGCAGGUGGGGGAGAAACUCCAGGCUUGAGUCACUCUUGUUUUCAAUCCUUCUUGGGAAAUGUACAGAAAAAAAGCACCGCCCCCCUCCCACCCCCCAGCACUGUCUCAGCCCAGGAGUGGGGAGUGACAACAGGUGCCCCUGAUUCCGCGAGGGAGGGAGACACAGACAGGCCUUGAUUUCUGUGUCUGGAGCAGGGAUGGCAGGAAAAACCCCGAUAAAAUACUCUAAGCUCAGCUGGUGAAGACUUUUGUUUUUCAAGUUCUAGGAUUGGUGGCAGAAAUGAAAAAUCUGAAGUCCUGAGGAAAAAACCAAAGGAGUCACAUCCCUGGGGAUCCCGUGAGGCCCUCCCUUCGAGUUAAAUCUGGUGCCAUCUUGGAAGCAGCACUUUAGCACAAAGGCAGCCGUUUCCAGGUAUUAGUGGGGCAAGUUGAGAUCUUUUGGUUAAUUUACCAAGAACCAAACCUCGAUCACUCCAUAUCCAGGAAUAGCCACUCUGCUCCAAGAGCAAACUUGGCUGUAUUCAGCCUCUGCUGGAGAGGCUUGUCUUAGCUCGUCAGAGGUCUUUACAGACACCCAAGUGUGUCAACAGAGAACCACCAGAGUGCCCAUACCAGCAGUUAAAAAGCAGACAGUCUAUUUAAAGAAAUGUCUAUUAGAGAUGCUAAUUUUCUUAAGUGGGAAGCCAGAGUGCCAGAUAUGGGGAGACACGCUGGGGUUAUCUAGAAGUGCUGAUAGGACACCUCAUCCCUAAAUGUUUGCCUCCAAAAAUGAAGUAUACAUAAACUAAUGUGGUAAGAUGUUAAUUUUUAGAUUAUUUUCAUAAUCCACCCUUUAUUUGCUUUUUAGGGCUGUACCCGAGGCACAUGGAGGUUCCCAGGCUAGGGGUCGAAUCAGAGCUACAGCUGCCAGCUUACACCAGACACAGCAACACAGGCUCCAAGCCGCAUCUGUGACCUACACCACAGCUCACGGCAAUGCUGGAUCCUUAACCCACUGAGCAAGGUCAGGGAUCGAACCUGAAUCUUCAUGGAUCCGAGCCACAACAGGAAGACCCAAGAUGUUAAUAUUAACAUCAGUGAAUCCAGAGGAGGAAUAUACUGUUCAAAAUAUGUACUAUUACAGCUUUUUCACAGAAUUGAGAAGUUUGAACUAAACAGUGUGUAAUUUAACUUUUUCCAGAACGUGGAAUUUACCAUCUGGUUGAAGCAAUAAAAUACCUGGCCACUGACA